UACGGGAGGCAGCAGUGGGGAAUAUUGGACAAUGGGCGCAAGCCUGAUCCAGCCAUGCCGCGUGUGUGAAGAAGGCCUUUUUGGUUGUAAAGCACUUUAAGCGAGGAGGAGGCUCUCUUAGUUAAUACCUAAGAUGAGUGGACGUUACUCGCAGAAUAAGCACCGGCUAACUCUGUGCCAGCAGCCGCGGUAAUACAGAGGGUGCGAGCGUUAAUCGGAUUUUACUGGGCGUAAAGCGUGCGUAGGCGGCUUUUUUAAGUCGGAAUGUGAAAUCCCCGAGCUUAACUUGGGAAUUGCAUUCGAUACUGGGAAGCUAGAGUAUGGGAGAGGAUGGUAGAAUUCCAGGUGUAGCGGUGAAAUGCGUAGAGAUCUGGAGGAAUACCGAUGGGCGAAGGGCAGCCAUCUGGGCCUAAUACUGACGCUGAGGUACGAAAAGCAUGGGGAGGCAAAACAGGAUUAGAUACC
rnacentral:rRNA from 1 species